GUCUCAGGCCGUAUCAGCCCUGAAAGGCGCCCCGAUCUCGUCUGAUCUCGGAAGCUAAGCAGGGUCGGGCCUGGUUAGGAUCUUGGAUGGGAGACCACCUGGGAAUCCCGGGUGCUCGAGGCU
rnacentral:rRNA from 1 species